UUUCAGGGAGGUAGCGUUGGCCAUCUUCAUAAACUACUUUCAAUUGAGUCAAGUUCACAGGUUCUUUAUGUUGGUGACCAUAUAUAUGGAGAUAUUUUGCGCAGCAAAAAGGUUCUUGGGUGGAGAACAAUGCUUGUCGUUCCAGAGCUAGAGAUGGAGGUUGAACUCCUAUGGGAAUUGAGAGAUACCCGCAAGAUCUUUC